AAAGGUCUAGUGAGGAUGUAGAAGGGUCUGGCUUCCCUCUGGAAUCCAGUGGAAAAGGCUACUCUGAGGUUCCAAAUCUCAGAUUUUUA